GCACCUGUAGCUCAGCUGGAUAGAGUACCAGACUUCGAAUCUGAGGGUCGGGGGUUCGAAUCCCUCCAGGUGCACCA
rnacentral:tRNA from 1 species